AUGAUUAACAGUACUCGGAGGAGCUCUAUACCCUUUGUGAACAUACCUCAAACUGUUGCCUCGGCGGGCAGGCGGUAGCGAUACCGCCUCCCCGGCGCCGUCCGCGGCGCGCCCGCCGGGGGAUAACCAAACUCUGAUUUAACGACGUUUCUUCUGAGUGGCACAAGCAAAACAAUAAUCAAAACUUUUAACAACGGAUCUCUUGGUUCUGGCAUCGAUGAAGAACGCAGCGAAAUGCGAUAAGUAAUGUGAAUUGCAGAAUUCAGUGAAUCAUCGAAUCUUUGAACGCACAUUGCGCCCGCCAGCAUUCUGGCGGGCAUGCCUGUUCGAGCGUCAUUUCAACCCUCAAGCACUGCUUGGUGUUGGGGCCCUACGGCCGACGUAGCCCCCAAAGACAGUGGCGGACCCUCCCGGAGCCUCCUUUGCGAUAACAUUACCACCUCGCACUGGGAUCCGGAGGGACUCUCCUGCCGGAAAAC
rnacentral:rRNA from 1 species